rnacentral:rRNA from 1 species
UAAGGAAUAUUGGUCAAUGGACGCAAGUCUGAACCAGCCAUGCCGCGUGAAGGAUGAAGGUCCUCUGGAUUGUAAACUUCUUUUAUUUGGGACGAAAAAAGGGUUUUCUAACUCACUUGACGGUACCAGAUGAAUAAGCACCGGCUAACUCCGUGCCAGCAGCCGCGGUAAUACGGAGGGUGCAAGCGUUAUCCGGAUUCACUGGGUUUAAAGGGUGCGUAGGCGGGUAUGUAAGUCAGCGGUGAAAUCCCCGAGCUUAACUUGGGAACUGCCGUUGAUACUAUAUAUCUUGAAUGUUGUGGAGGUUAGCGGAAUAUGUCAUGUAGCGGUGAAAUGCUUAGAUAUGACAUAGAACACCCAUUGCGAAGGCAGCUAACUACGCAAAUAUUGACGCUGAGGCACGAAAGCGUGGGGAUCAAACAGG